rnacentral:rRNA from 1 species
UACGUAGGGUGCAAGCGUUGUCCGGAAUUAUUGGGCGUAAAGAGCUCGUAGGCGGUUUGUCGCGUCUGCUGUGAAAACUCGGGGCUUAACUCCGAGCCUGCAGUGGGUACGGGCAGACUAGAGUGCGGUAGGGGAGACUGGAAUUCCUGGUGUAGCGGUGAAAUGCGCAGAUAUCAGGAGGAACACCGGUGGCGAAGGCGGUUCUCUGGGCAUUACCUGACGCUGAGGAGCGAAAGUGUGGGGAGCGAACAGG